rnacentral:piRNA from 1 species
GUGGCUCUGCGCGAGAUCCGGCG